rnacentral:rRNA from 1 species
UAAGGAAUAUUGGUCAAUGGACGAAAGUCUGAACCAGCCAUGCCGCGUGCAGGAUGACGGCCCUAUGGGUUGUAAACUGCUUUUAUACGGGAAGAAACCCCUCUACGUGUAGAGGGUUGACGGUACUGUAAGAAUAAGGACCGGCUAACUUCGUGCCAGCAGCCGCGGUAAUACGAAGGGUCCAAGCGUUAUCCGGAUUUAUUGGGUUUAAAGGGUGCGUAGGCGGCUUAUUAAGUCAGUGGUGAAAGACUUCAGCUUAACUGAAGAACUGCCAUUGAUACUGAUGAGCUUGAAUAUACUUGAGGUGGGCGGAAUGUGUCAUGUAGCGGUGAAAUGCUUAGAUAUGACACAGAACACCGAUUGCGAAGGCAGCUCGCUAAAGUAUCAUUGACGCUGAUGCACGAAAGCGUGGGGAGCAAACAG